rnacentral:rRNA from 1 species
CAAUAGCGUAUAUUAAAGUUGUUGCGGUUAAAAAGCUCGUAGUUGGAUUUCUGCUGAGAACGACCGGUCCGCCGUAAGGUGUGUACUUGGUUGUCUCCUGUCAUCCUUGUGGGAACUGCUCUGGCAUUAAGUUGUCGGGGUUAGGGAACACAUCGUUUACUGUGAAAAAAUUAGAGUGUUUAAAGCAGGCUUAUGCCGUUGAAUACAUUAGCAUGGAAUAAUAAGAUAGGACUUUGGCGUCUAUUUUGUUGGUUUGCACACCAAGGUAAUGAUUAAUAGGGAUAGUUGGGGGUAUUCGUAUUUAAUUGUCAGAGGUGAAAUUCUUGGAUUUAUGAAAGACGAACUUCUGCGAAAGCAUUUACCAGAGAUGUUUUCAUUAA